UUGAAGGUCUAGCUACCAUAUUAUUACCCACAAGGGUAAAGGAACAGUACCACUGCUGGAUAAUUGGAAUGUCCCGGUGUGUCAACCUCUGUGCUUCGUGGCAAGGUAGACUAGCAAACAUGCCUAACCUUUACUCACAUUCGAGAAAACACUCCCAACAAGAUUGCUUGCCCCAAAAUCGAAGAGGCACCGCCCUCCGAAUCUCGAGAGCCAGACUCCCAACAUGAUUACUUUCUCAAAAAUCGAAGAGAGGGUAAAGGAACAGUACCACUGCUGGAUAAUUGGAAAGUCCCUGUGUGUCAACCUUUGUGCUUCGUGGCAAGGUAGACUAGCAAACAUGCCCAACCUUUACUCACAUUCGAGAAAACACUGCCAACAAGAUUGCUUGCUCCAAAAUCGAAGAGGCACCGCCUUCCGAAUCUCAAGAGCCAAACUCCCAACAUGAUUACUUUCUCAAAAAUCGAAGAGAGGGUAAAGGAACAGUACCACUACUGGAUAAUUGGAAAGUCCCUGUGUGUCAACCUCUGUGCUUCGUGGCAAGGUAGACUAGCAAACAUGCCCAACCUUUACUCACAUUCGAGAAAAC
rnacentral:lncRNA from 1 species